AGAAGAAGCUGUGCUGGCUGGAGAUGACAAAUCCAAAACUAAUGGUCAUUGGUAGGAACCAUGGGGACGUCCACGGGGGCUUUCGUCCUGCUCUUGUGGCUGUCGCUGCACUGGCUCAGCCAAGGAGAGAAGGUGGAGCAGCAUCGUUCCACGCUGAGUGUCCAGGAGGGAAGAAACUCUGUUAUCACCUGUAGUUACUCAGACAGUAUCUCAAACUACUUCCUUUGGUAUAAGCAAGAAGUUGGGAAAGGUCCUCGGCUCAUUAUGGACAUUCGUUCAAAUGUGGCCAAGAAGGAAGACCAAAGAGUCACUGUUUUAUUGAAUAAGACGGCCAAGCACCUGUCCCUGCACAUCGCAGCCACCCAGCCCGCAGACGCAGCGGUCUACUUCUGUGCAGCAAGUGCACAGUGCGUCCCCGACACCUGCCGCCUGUGCUCAAACCUGCGACUCUGCAGCCCCUGUCCUCUGACACAGACCUUCCAGUAGAGCAUCUGUGC